GUAUCUAAACAAAAGCAAUGAAAGUCUUAUAAAUAAAAGUGUUUGAGAGAGAGUCGGUUAAGGCUGGCGAAAUAAAUCUACCUGUACUAAAUUUGAUUGUCUUACAUAGGUACUUAUGAUUCCUAGAGACUAAAAGGCCAACUUUGGAGGCCGAGGUACCAAAUUAGAAACAGAUGCUAUUUUAUGUGACAAUGAGACCCCUGGCUUCAUUGGUCGAGCAACCUAUACAAAUUGGUGCCAAGCAAUCAACAGCAAGACAGGCCUUCGUCUGCUGUCGAAACUUAAGUUGAAGCAAAGACAGGUUUAAAACCUUUCCUCAGAAACCAAAAGAAAUUCAGUUUUUAGACUGUUAUCAGGACGAUCUGAAACCCAGAGACUGUCAUCAAGCAUACUUGGAGUCAAUAAGCAUAUUUAGGUAUCAUACGCUUUUUGAUACCUACAACGGCAGGUUACAAAUAAGCAAAGAAACUACUCGGAAUACAUAGCUUUCACUUGGUGACAAAUUCACUUAAAUCCGAAAUGCUUUUGGAUACUCCAUAAAAUAGAACCGGAAAUUAAAGCAACAUGUAUCAUAUGAUGAUAGAAAUACAAUAGGGAAACUUUGUUGUUGAACAGCCAAAAGAGACGAAGAACUUACUCAUUCAUUCUGUGGUACUAAAGCUUAUGAGUAUUUAAAACAGAAAAAUAAGACAUGAUUUUAAACUUUUAAAGAUGAAAGGGCAAUGAUUCAACGCAGCAUAGACUGUACAAAAUCAGCAGAUCGAGAUUGACUGAAAAUCUAAUCUUUUGGUAAUAAUUUUACAAUUUUUGUCUUUAUUGGUAAACAUCACAAAUUGCGAUCAAAUACUGGGUAAAAAGUGAACUGUCAGAAUCGAUGGAAAUUUAACAGCGAGCACAAUUCUUUUCCUAAAUAAAACUAAUAUGCCCGAUAGCAAAAAAGGUUCAUCCUUCCUAGAAAUGGCGCAUCUAUGACCAACAUGAUGGCUGCUUUCAGAGUUUCCGUGAACUCCUAUCGAGUGACACUGGCUUGAUAAAACGUUUGAACCAAAAGCAGCGUACACAGCAGAGAAAGCAAAACAUGACUGGCUUACAGUUGUUUGACUGUUAAUGUUAGGGUAGACAGUGAAAUUCUAGUACAAAUACAUGGUCAACUUUUUGCUUGACUUUGAUAUAAGAGAGAGAGUGUCAGGAAUAGAGAGUACGGCUAUACAUAAAGACGAUACGCCUAUACACACGACAUUAAAUAGAAAGACACAAAGCCCACGAUACCUUGUGUUAUGACUGACUGUCAUUUACGAAAGUAAAUUUCUUAAAUUUUAUUGAGAAUAAAUUCGCUAUAGGAUCCACACUGUUCAAAUAGAACAUUCGCUUGGCCUAGAAACUACGUUUAGCAACUUCUGACCCAGGUCAUCACUGUGAUCCAAGGCUCCAGAUAUCACAAGGCGGAAUGUCAAAAACAGCAGAGAAAAUGUAACUUCUUAAGCUCUUUUGUUCAGUAUGGAAAUGUUUAGGUUAUAACUGAUUCGAUUCCUUUUGCGACACGGCAACAGCCGACCAAAAAGACAUCCCUUACGACUAAUCCGUAACUGAUAUAUAUGAACACUGUAAUUCCUUAAUCAUUUGAUUUUCCAUAUAUUUCAAGGGUUCCCGAUGACAGGAAUUAGUUUGCUGGCUACAGGUGACAGGGAGGCAGAAAAAACUUAUAGGACCCUUUAUUUGGUACUUCAUCGGCCUUCGGGAUCGCUCUUUGUAAGGGGAAAAUUAACACAGAAAAAACAAAAAAAGUGACAAUUGAAAAGCUACUUGGCAAGUUUGCAUCUUUGGCUUAAAUUGCUCGCAUCAAAUGAUUUGAUAAAUAUGGAUGUUUUUCAUUGUAAUGAAUCAGACAAUGUUUUGUUUCCAAAUAGCUUGAUAACCAUAGCAAAGAAUAUCUUGAGUUGCAGCAAAGUAUAACAGGAAGGCGAUACAAUGUUGCGGUAUAAGAACAUCAGAAAGACGGGCUGGUAAGAACAGUGCUACCUAUGGCGAGAUUUACCGCGAUUCGUUUGUUCGCUUAUUUACACACUAAUCUAGGUACCAAGCGGAUUAAGCGACUUAAGUAUGGGAGGGGCCACGAAAAACCGCAUAAUCCUAUGCACCUGUUCUAUCUUAUAGUUAACGAGAUUUAGCACAACAUUCCUUUGGGUCAUUUACAAAUAGAUGCGUAAUUCUAAUCAAUGUUGCGUAAUGCGGAAAAUUGCGUUCGUAAGGAAUGCUGAUAUCACAUUCCUUACAUCGAGAGGGUGCGUUGAACUGCGCAUGCGGCAAACGCGCCGGAUGUUUACAACUUCUAAGACUUCGCGAUUCUAAACUGUUUCACGCGCGGAUGAUGGUAUUGAAAAGUGUCCCAAAUAGCUUCUCCAACAACUGACAUAACUGUCUGGAGGAAAUUUAAUGCGGUUUAAAAACGGAAACGGUUACCCAAGUUUUCACAAAAAUGAGGGAGCUGGAAAAUAAAAAGCAAGUAAAAAAAUAAAGGAACCUCAAAUGUAGGAAAUCAAGGAUGUCAAAGCGAAUAGAAGGUGGCGAAGACAUACAUUGACUACAAAAAAAAACAGAGAAAGAACAGGUCUCAAAGCCCAAUUUGACCUCAAAAAACCCGAAUAGUUGAAACAAUUCGAAAUUGCAUUACCAGCGAUUUCAAAGGAGGCAAACAUGACUAUGACGAAUCAAGAGCAAAAAUGCGCUGCAAAAAGAACAUUCUUCACCGUAUUAUCAAAAACGCAUGGGUGCUCAGUCAAUGAUGAUAUUGACUUAAUAACAACACUGAAAAUGAUAUUUCUUGAUCGUGUAUAAGGGAAUGCCAUACCUAUAAGCAACAGAUGCAACGGGCUCUUGCUCGUCUUCCACAAAAGGAUUAGGGUGGUCAAAUGACAACUUCUCGCCUUUUCUCAGGCACUGCUGUGAAAAAUUCUGAUUUAUAAAGGUGGCCUCUAGAGCCAGGUUACUGGCCGAAUUAAGUCCUUCUUCUGCCAGCGGGUCCCAGGCUGUCUCGUUGACAGUCAA